GAAUGACAUUUUGUAUUAUUGGUUAUGUGCGCAACACGUGCACAUGGAAAUUUGACAGCCGGCUGAAAAGAUUUACGGAAUAAAACUGCUGAAUAGUGAAAUUACUGCUUCCGGCGCACCAACUCCAUCGAUAUUAAUAAAAAAAAAAAACGAAUUGCAGCCUCAACAGCAACAACAAAUUGCAAAUUUAGCCUGCCAUAAUGAACCGCAGCAACACAUCAUCUAUUGAAGCUCCUUCUAAAUCAGCAAAAUAUUCACAAACAAUUGCCAGCGCUGGCACACCGUUAACCAGCUUUCAAUAGCAACAGACCAUAGGUGGCCCUGGUGGAACAACCAUUACCUCUACUCCAAUCAAAAAGCAACAGAUCGACGCUACAAUCACCACAUUACCGCCUAGUACAUUUAUACAAGCGAGCGGAGUUGCUUCUUCUAGCAGCAUAAAUGGUGGACAUCCGUGAGUUUUACAGUACGCGAUUUGCAGAAAGAAGGUAUGUUGUCCAGGCCCGUAGCCAGCUUUUCAUUUCGGGGGGGGCUGAAGUAAAAACAUAUAUAAACUUUAAAUUUUCUGUUUAUUAAAAAAAACAAUAUAAAUUCAUAUACAUAUUACUUAAGUGAUUUGGUAGUUGUAACUUAAAUAAGUAAUAUUUUUCUUUUCUUCUUGUUUGCCAUAUCAUUAAUUACUUCAUCUGGAUCUAUUUUAAUAUCUCAGUGCACUGCAAUAACAGCAAGUGCACUCAGCCGCUCAUUGCCCAUCACACUGCGUGGUAAAGAUUUUAUUCUUUUUAACCUUUAACUUAAGAGGUCAAAUUUCGAAACGUAGAUUUAGAGGUAGUAGUAAAUUUUACACCAUUUUGAUUGUUAAAAUUUAUUAGAGAUUUUUUUAUUAUAAUACUUACAAAUUUCAUCAAAUUGAUUUAAAUUAAUUCUAAUUACUGUAUUUGGAAAGAAAAUUUUAAACUCUUUGUAUUUUUUUGAAAAAUUUGUCGUUUAUUUUAGAAACGUUUUUAGGAUUAUGAGAAAAUCAAAACACAAGGUGUAAAAUUUACUACCACGUCAUUAGUUAAAGGUUAAGGUUGAAAAAGUUCUUUCAACGGAAGCGGUCGUCACUGGAAGAGUUGCUUAAAUUGUAAGCAGGUAGUGAAUAUUUUUAAAAUACGUUGCAUCGCAAUAUUGCAGUAAUUUCAACACUUCUAUGGUUGGAUCUAUUGUUGAUAAGCUGGCACAUCACAAUCGAUACUCUGAUUUUAAUGCUGUCAUUGAUAUUUGCUCCUUGAAGUAAAUAGUUAAAUUUUUUAAUUCUUCGGCAUUAUCAAUUGCAGCAAAACCUGGGAGUAGAAUUUGAAAUGACGAGAGGAUAUGCUCAUUCACUAAUAAACGUUCUGUCAUGUUUUGAAUCAGAGCAUCAACGCAUGGAAUAAAUAUUGUAACUCUGAAGUGGCUUUCAGGGGUUGUGCAAGGUGGAUUAGCACGAGUAGUUUGACGCGAAGUCACUCUAGGCACUACAAGAUCUAUGUCAAAAAGAUCUUUAGACAUUUGUGAUGCUGUUUGGAAAAUAUCGUUGAAAAAACCAUCCGCUGUUUCUCUUAUCUGGUGCAGAGUUCUUAUUAAUUCUUUGGCUCGGUUCAUUGCUGAUACAAAAUCCAUAGAUUUUUCGUGGAGUUGCACAGACAGUGGCAGCGUUAAGCUUAGUACGCAGCUCUCAAGAAACGUAAAAACUUCAUAUAAAAAAACGCUUAAGAAACGGUUCAGAAACGUUCCUGCGAUAAAGUUACUUGUGCUAGUACGCAGCUCUCAAGAAAUCUAGUACUAAUUUUUUAUACUUUUUUUCAAUAAAAUGUGAAUAUGGCAAACCUGGUUUUGCGACGAAACAUCAAAUCAACAAUUGUUUCUUGAGGGAAAUUCGAAGUAAUCGUCAAAUUCAUCCUAAAUUAGUUGAAAUCAUUAUUAUAAAGUAUAUUCCAAUUUGAAAUAUUGUAUAAAACCAACCAAUCAUCAACAACAUUCCUUAAAUCUCAAUGAAAAUAUUUGUGUUACCAUACACAUACAUACAUACAUACAUACGCACAAAGUUUGUUUACUUUGUUUAUUCUCUCUUGCUCUUCUAAUGUGGAUCAUUCACAAUGCGUAACCAGCUGUCAAAAUUACUUCAGAAAUAAUGUAUUUUUGUUCUUGAGCAAUUACUUGAGAGCUGCGUACCAACCUUUAAGCUGAACAAUUGCUCACAGACGAAUAGACUAAGCAAAAAAUCGCUUUUCUCUACCGCUGCUAAGAAGGCUGAUGCUUUAGACGAAAUGGGCCAUGUCUUACUCGAAAUUAUUUCCAAACUUAGUACAAUGAAUUUGAAAAGCUCCACAAAGGUUAUAAUGCUUUCAUGCCUUUCUAUAAACCUUGUUUCACAAAGGCGAACAAGUCGUCUUUUUUUGCUUUCUGGUGCGUGCUUCUGUAUAACGUCCUGGAAAGUUGUGUUUGCAUUUGAAUGGUUUCUAAAUAAAUUUGCUAUUUCACUGACAAUACCAAGGCAGUUCCGUAUUGUAGGUAAUGACAUAGUAUUAGAAAGCGCAAGGUUCAAUCGGUGACUAGCACAAUGAACAUAUCGUGCUUUUGGAUACAGUUGUCUUAUCCUGGUUUGCACUCCACUUAAAUGCCCUGACAUGUUUGCUGCUCCGUCAUAUCCCUGUCCAACCAACUUCGCCAUAUCAAGAUGGAGAUCUGUACAACGCUUAAGUAUGACUUUUGAUAAGUUUUCAGUCACCGUCUAGUGUAGUUGCGUACGACUGUUAUAGGUUUGAGCUGAGUUGUGUAUAAGAUUCAGUCAGUGAUAAAUCUUUUUUAUUUGCGAUAUUUAAAAAAAUUCCUUAUAGCCCCCCCCCCUGGCUACGUGCCUGAUGUUGUCACCGAGUUCAUCGUCAUCGGCGAAGGACAAAUUUUGGCAGCAGAAAAGACUCGUGAGCAUGCUCUUCUUGCUUUCACCCCUGACGUGAAACAACUGAUCGUUGGUGUUAACAAGAUGGACUCGUCCGAACCACCAUACAGUGAGGCUUGCUAUGAGGAAAUCACGAAGGGAGUAUCCUCAUACAUCAAGAAGAUCGGUACAAUCCAGAUGCUGUUGCAUUCGUGUCAAUCUCUGGAAGCAUCCACCAACACGCCAUGGCUCAAGGAAUGGAAGGCUGCACGUAAGGAAGGCAACGCUGGGGGUAAGUUGAUUUAAUAACACAACCAUAAAAUGAAAAAAGAAUGACGCACAAGUAAAUAUGACGUUAACAUUAGGCCAGAUUAAAACAAAUAUUUCGAUGUAAACGUGCAAAAAUCAAAUGUUGUGAGAAGCGUUUGCUGGAAUCCUAAAUCAUAAAUACUUAUUAUUUUAAUAUGUAAUUGCCGAUUGAUUGAACUUCGUGCAGUUGUCAUUUAUAUACACAUAUUCUUAUAUGCUUCGCUUAGACUAUUGUUCAAUAAUGGAAAUUAACUCGUAGUACUUCAAAAAAAUACAUGCUAUGAAUGUAGAAAGGCUUAUUUGCAAUUUCUUCAAUUAUCAAUAAAUACAUAUAUAUAAACAUAAAAUAAAAUGAAAAAUCUGUUCCGUGUUGUUUGACAUGCAUAAAAAAAUGCUACGGUAAUACUACAAGUAACACAUACGCUACAUAGAACUAUAUAAAGAGUUCAAUAAGAAUGGUAAUUUUUUAUUCAAACAAAAUUUGCAUAUUCACUGGUAGAGUGUUUAUGCUUAAAAUUGUUGAAUAUAAUUAAAUGUUAUGGAUACAAAUUUAACUAUGUAUUUCCAUUAUUGAGAAAAAAUCUGAAAUUUUCUUCAAAAAUCGCUGAAAUUGCAAAAAGCUGAAAUUCUCGUUACAUGGUAGUUAAGAAAGUAUAUCUAAUUACAAUAUAGUAAUUACAAAGGAAAAAAGUAUCGAAACGAAAAACCAAAAUUAAGUUAUUUAAAGUAAAAAAUAUUAUUAAUGAAUAGAAAUGUGGGAAUACACUGAAAAUAAAUUGUGUGAAGAAUGUGAUUUAAGAUUUUAAGAGAAUUAAAUAAAAUCAAUGCAAAAAUUUAUAUAAUACAAAAAAAAAUUUAUUUCAAGCUGCGUACAUACAGCUGCGUUGGGGGGAAUGCAACCGAAAUAUUUCAAAAUUGCAAUUCAAGGCAAUAAAAAAAUAUGUAAAACUUAAAUUUUUUUUUUUCAAAGUAAAAUCUGUUUAUUUUUAUAAAUAGGUGCACAAUUAAUUGGAACAACAUAAAUUCGCGUAAAAGUGCCAACUUCGAUUAGGGUCUAGGGGUCUCUUCUUUG